rnacentral:rRNA from 1 species
GAGUUUGAUCUUGGCUCAGAGCGAACGCCGGCGGCAGGCCUAACACAUGCAAGUCGAGCGGCCGUAGCAAUACGGCAGCGGCAGACGGGAGAGUAACACGUGGGAACGCGCCCUUCGGUUCGGGAUAACCCAGGGAAACUUGGGCUAAUACCGGAUACGCCCUUACGGGGAAAGAUUUAUUGCCGAAGGAACGGCCCGCGUCCGAUUAGCUAGUUGGUGAGGUAAUGGCUCACCAAGGCGACGAUCGGUAGCUGGUCUGAGAGGAUGACCAGCCUCACUGGGACUGAGACACGGCCCAGACUCCUACGGGAGGCAGCAGUGGGGAAUAUUGGACAAUGGGCGCAAGCCUGAUCCAGCCAUGCCGCGUGGGUGAUGAAGGCCCUAGGGUUGUAAAGCCCUUUCAGCGGGGAAGAUAAUGACGGUACCCGCAGAAGAAGCCCCGGCUAACUUCGUGCCAGCAGCCGCGGUAAC